rnacentral:rRNA from 1 species
UACGAAGGGGGCUAGCGUUGCUCGGAAUUACUGGGCGUAAAGGGCGCGUAGGCGGAUGUCUAAGUUGGGGGUGAAAGCCCGGGGCUCAACCUCGGAAUAGCCUUCAAUACUGGAUAUCUUGAGUUCGGGGAGAGGUGAGUGGAAUGCCGAGUGUAGAGGUGAAAUUCGUAGAUAUUCGGCGGGACACCAGUGGCGAAGGCGACUCACUGGCCCGAUACUGACGCUGAGGCGCGAAAAGCGUGGGGAGCAAACAGG